rnacentral:rRNA from 1 species
UACGAAGGGGGCUAGCGUUGCUCGGAAUCACUGGGCGUAAAGCGCACGUAGGCGGGAUUGCUAAGUCAGGGGUGAAAUUCCUGGAGCUCAACUCCAGAACUGCCUUUGAUACUGGUGAUCUUGAGUCCGGGAGAGGUGAGUGGAACUGCGAGUGUAGAGGUGAAAUUCGUUAGAUAUUCGCAAGAACACCAGUUGGGCGAAGG